UGCAACACACCUGAUUGAAAUGACCAGGAUCGUUAUAAGGAUCCUGAAGAGCUUGCUGAUGCGCUGUCCAUAUAUGGCUACAAGCGAGCUGAAGGUAUCGUUAGCUCAACUUGCCGAUAUCGAAAGCAGGUGGAGGUGAAAGCUGGUAAACAAGCAUCCCGUGCAGACGGAGAGGCUGGAUGCUGAUGGAGAAGCGUCGCAGGAAGGAGGCCGCCUGUAAUUGUCCUGAUUUGCCCUGUAAAACUUGGAAAGUGACUGGAAUUAUGUGGCCCGUGUCCAGGUCACUGGGUCUUAAACUGCACAUUUGAAAGUGGACGGGCAAAUUGGUGCUGUUGUUAAAUCCAGUUUCUUUCAUCUUCGGCAGCUGAUUGAAUGUCAUUGUCUUUGCCUUACCGUGGUAAUGUG